AUUUAUUUAUUUUUAGUUAAUGCUUCGGUAAUUCACUUAGUAGUAGUUAUCUAUCCAAAAAUAUAUUUGAUCCGUGGCUGGUACUGGAAUUGGCAUUGGAAUUAAAAUUGAGGUCGGAAUGAAAUUUGAGAAUGAGAUAUGAAGGUCAUCUGUUUCUAUUUUUAUUUAAAAGCUCAAUUUUUUCCAGAUGGACAUGCUCUAUGGUGAUUUUAAUCGCAGAAAAUAUUUAAUUCUGACCAAAAGUGAUAUCCAAUGCACCAAGUCGAAGAAGGGGGAAGAAAAUCCGGUCGCAAGCUUGGAAACAUUCAUGAGGGCAGUGCUAUGUGCCUCUGCAUCUUUGUCGUCGCCAGCUUCUUCUCGAACCUUCCACCGACUUCUCACCUCGUCUCUCUUCCAGACCUUUCCACCUUUCCCUCCAUGUCUUACCCUCAUCCUCCUCCAACUCCUUUCCUUCAAAUCCAUCGGACCAACCAUUCGCCAUUCAACACCACCACCACCACCAACUAAGUAGAAGAAGAAGAGCAGCAGGAGUCGCAGAGCGGAAGAGAAAGCUAGGGGAUGGGAGCGGACUACUAUAAAAUCCUCCAAGUUGACAAGAACGCCAAAGAGGAAGACCUCAAGAAGGCCUACCGCAAGCUCGCCAUGCGAUGGCACCCCGACAAGAACCCCAACAACAAGAAGGAAGCGGAGGCCAAAUUCAAACAGAUCUCCGAGGCCUACGAGGUUCUAAGUGACCCUCAGAAGCGCGCCAUCUACGACCAGUACGGAGAGGAAGGGCUCAAGGGGCAGGUCCCGCCCCCGGGGGCCGGCGGGGCGUCCUUCUUUCCCGGCGGCGGGGAAGGGCCCACGGUGUUCCACUUUAAUCCAAGGAAUGCUGACGACAUUUUCUCCGAAUUCUUCGGAUUCUCGAGCCCGUUUGGGAGCAUGGGUAGCGGCGGAGGCGGCGGGAUGAGGGGUGGUUCCAGGUUCUCGAGCUCGAUGUUCGGGGAUGACUUCUUUGGGUCGACGUUUGGUCCGGGGGAGGGGCCGAUGGAUUCUCGUCAGCCGCGGAAGGCGGCGCCAAUCGAGAAUUUGUUGCCAUGUAGCCUCGAGGAUCUGUACAAAGGCACCACUAAGAAGAUGAAGAUCUCCAGGGAGAUUGCGGAUAUGAGUGGGAAAACAAUGCCAGUGGAGGAAAUCCUAACUAUUGAUAUAAAGCCUGGUUGGAAGAAGGGAACAAAGAUCACAUUCCCAGAGAAAGGAAACGAACAGCCCAAUGUCAUUCCUGCUGAUAUUGUUUUCAUCAUUGAUGAGAAGCCACAUCCUGUCUUCACAAGGGAAGGGAACGAUCUGGUUGUGACAAGGAAAGUCUCUCUUGUGGAAGCUCUGACUGGCUAUACCGUCCAUUUGACAACACUGGAUGGACGUAGCCUGACCAUACCCAUAAAUUCUGUGAUUCAUCCUAGCUAUGAGGAGAUUGUUCCCGGGGAGGGCAUGCCGAUACCCAAGGAUCCAUCCAGGAAAGGGAAACUUAGAAUCAAGUUCGACAUCAAGUUUCCGACAAGGCUUACUUCUGAGCAGAAAGCUGGGAUUAAAAGACUACUCAGUCCUUAAGCCCAAAACAGCCGGAGACAAGUUAUGAAUAUUUUUAGUUGAGGUUUGCUUGAUGGGAUUGAUGUAUUUGGUAACCUGAUUAGGCAUCUGCAACAAGCUUAAUCUGAUAGCUGAGAUAUAUCAUUUUUUAGUCAUAGAAGUAAAAGAUUGAUAGCAAGUGGAAGAAGAUAUUGCGCGGCCCUCCACACACACCUCCUUCCCAACCCCAAACACCAAAACAAAACGAAAAAAAGGAGAGGGAGAGAGAGAGAACCACAGGAAAUGUAUCAUGAAUCUCACAUUGUUGCCUGAGAUUUCUUCCGGUUAUGAUGCAUUUUUUUCAACAAACGCUUAAGAAAAACAGCGGUUCACACCGUA